AGUGAACGCUGGCGGUAGGCCUAACACAUGCAAGUCGAACGGCAGCACAGUAAGAGCUUGCUCUUACGGGUGGCGAGUGGCGGACGGGUGAGGAAUACAUCGGAAUCUACUUUUUCGUGGGGGAUAACGUAGGGAAACUUACGCUAAUACCGCAUACGACCUACGGGUGAAAGCAGGGGAUCUUCGGACCUUGCGCGAUUGUAUGAGCCGAUGUCGGAUUAGUUAGUUGGCGGGGUAAAGGCCCACCAAGGCGACGAUCCGUAGCUGGUCUGAGAGGAUGAUCAGCCACACUGGAACUGAGACACGGUCCAGACUCCUACGGGAGGCAGCAGUGGGGAAUAUUGGACAAUGGGCGCAAGCCUGGUCCAGCCAUACCGCGUGGGUGAAGAAGGCCUUCGGGUUGGAAAGCCCUUUUGUUGGGAAAGAAAAGCAGCAGGUUAAUACCCCGCUGUUCUGACGGUACCCAAAAAAUAAGCACCGGCUAACUUCGUG
rnacentral:rRNA from 1 species